UAUGUAAGCCAGGCUGGCCAGGAACUCCCCAGAAACCCCCUGCUUCUACUUCCUGCAGUUGGGAUUACAUGAGAGACUGAUUACAUCAUGUCAUAUUUUGACAAUGGAGAGGACUUUGGAGGUGACAGCGAUGACAAUAUGGAUGAGGCCAUAUACUGAAAACCUGGGCCAUACACUGAAAACCUGAGACUAUAUAUCAUUCUUGAUUUGAGAUACAGGAACUAAAUAUCCUAUUUAAUUAGGGUUUUUCCUGUUUUUGUUAUUGUUUUUGAGAGAGGAUCUCAUGUAGCUCAGGCUGGCCUUGACCUCUUGAUCCUCCCACCCCCACCUCCCAAGUCUUGAGAUUCCAGGGCUGCACCACCACACCAGACUCACCAGGAUUUAAGGAAAAAUUGUUGAGGAAAAAUUAUUUAGUCAGAAUCCAGGUGGCCUGUGUGAUCCCUGGGGUCGUGAUGCACAGCACCUGACAGUUUAGGGGACACUUGGGGUAGAAAUAAUCAAGAGGAGUAAGGCCUGUUUUAUAUUUUUAAAUAAAAUGUUUGUACCUGUC
rnacentral:lncRNA from 1 species